ensembl:lincRNA 1700128A07Rik RIKEN cDNA 1700128A07 gene
UCAGGGUCCCACAGAAGAUCAAACUACACUUCUCUGUUAUAUGUGUGGGAGGCCGAGUUCAAUUCCAUGAAGGGUCCCUGGUUGGCAGUUCAGUCUCUAGAAUUUCCUUUAAUUUUUGUUCAAAGGCAGUGUCCCUGAUGGCAGGAGAAGCAUGGCAACAGGAACCGGAAGCUAAGAGAUCACAUUUCCAUUGUGCACAGGAAGCAGAGAGGGAAUUUCUAUCAACUAGAUGACAUCAUGAAUGUAACAGUAGUAAGGUUGGUAGUGAAAUCACUCCUGAUAAGAGGAGUUUGAAGUCUAUUAGGAAGUGGAAGAGCAAUGAAGUGACUACCCCUACGAGAACAUUUUACAUCACAGUUGCAAAGAACACAUCUAUCCUCUUCAUUAAAUCAACUGGUGUCCUUGAAGCUCCGGCUCAGCUGCCCUCUGACCCAAGAGAAGCAACAAAAUCCUAAAUCUCACUCCUCUGGCAAGAUCCACCAGGAGGUGAUUUGUUGAACAGCUUGUUAUGUGUGUUGAGAGAAGAUCUUCUACAACUAUUAGGAACAAACACAAGCCCAAGUUUUGAAAAAGUCAAGCAAAAAUGAAAUUGAAAUAGGAUAAUCCAUGGGGACAUAGGGAAGAGACGAUUGUCCUCACUCCAUCUUCUUCCAAGACCCUCAGAAUGUCUUCCUAGUAGUAGAAAAUAAGACAGAACCACGAUGCUUGAGAAUACACCAGAGCCACGAGAAGAUAAGAGUAAAUGAUAAACAUCAGCUGAGACAAUUUUACUUCAUCAAAAAUCUUCUAAAAGUUCACUUUUCUGCUUUAUUCUGUCUUGUAAAAGUUAAAAAUAAAUCUUUUGCUUGCUUCAUAACAUC